CCUGGUUUACAGAGCAAGUUCCAGGACAACCUCCAAAGCCACAGAGAAACCCUGUCUCCAAAAACAAAAAACAAAAAAAAAAAAGAAAAAGUCUCUAGGUUUGGAUCUCCACCAAUGUCUGCAGCUGUGGUCAACAGACAUUAGCCUGACUCCCAAGCAGCCUUGGGCAUCUGGUCGGCUGAGGUCCUCUCUAGGGGGGGUCUCAGUCUAAAUUGUCAAAAAACUCGGUCACCUCAUUCCUGAGAUGGCGAUGAUGGAGUAGGAACAUAGCAUUUAAGCCAGCAUGUAACAGCUGGAUGGCAUCAGUGUGGUUGGGUGGGGUAGAGGGGAGAUACUGUGUCUCUCCGAGCAGCAGGGUGACCCAGUGACUUGAUGGAGGCAGCAGCCAGAGCAGCUGUCCGUGCUCAGCCUGGGAAGGAAGCUGUGUCCGAAGAAUCACAAAAUUCUGAAUCUUGGCUUCAAAACAAGAGCAUCAGAUGGAAAGGAAAAGGUCAGAGUUCGGCUGUCUGGACAUCUGUGCCUCCAUCCAAAGAAGUAAACAUUACAUUUAUGCCAGCUGGGAGCCACAAGUUAACUCUACCACUGAGGGGCUGACAAGACUGCUUAGGACGUAAAGGAGGAACUCCUACCAAGUCUGAUAAUCUAAGUUCCACGCUUGAAACCCACAGAACCAACAACUGCAAAUCUAUGGUGUAUGCGUACAACAUACACAUACACCCCCACCAAUAAAGUAAUUUAAAAACA